rfam:Thaumarchaeota archaeon CSP1-1 XT09_C0010, whole genome shotgun sequence.
GCGGAGUUAGUCUAGACUGGCAGGACGUCAGCUUCCCAAGCUGAAGGUCGCGUGUUCAAAUCCCGCACUCCGCA